rnacentral:rRNA from 1 species
ACACAUGCAGUCGAGCGGUAACAGGAGAAGCUUGCUUCUCGCUGACGAGCGGCGGACGGGUGAGUAAUACUUAGGAAUCUACCUAGUAGUGGGGGAUAGCACGGGGAAACUCGUAUUAAUACCGCAUACGACCUACGGGAGAAAGGGGGCAGUUURCUGCUCUCGCUAUUAGAUGAGCCUAAGUCGGAUUAGCUAGAUGGUGGGGUAAAGGCCUACCAUGGCGACGAUCUGUAGCUGGUCUGAGAGGAUGAUCAGCCACACCGGGACUGAGACACGGCCCGGACUCCUACGGGAGGCAGCAGUGGGGAAUAUUGGACAAUGGGGGAAACCCUGAUCCAGCCAUGCCGCGUGUGUGAAGAAGGCCUUUUGGUUGUAAAGCACUUUAAGCAGUGAAGAAGACUCCRUGGUUAAUACCCAUGGCGAUGACAUUAGCUGCAGAAUAAGCACCGGCUAACUCUGUGCCAGCAGCCGCGGUAAUACAGAGGGUGCAAGCGUUAAUCGGAAUUACUGGGCGUAAAGGGAGCGUAGGUGGCUCUAUAAGUCAGAUGUGAAAUCCCCGGGCUUAACCUGGGAACUGCAUCUGAAACUGUAGAGCUAGAGUAUGUGAGAGGAAGGUAGAAUUCCAGGUGUAGCGGUGAAAUGCGUAGAGAUCUGGAGGAAUACCGAUGGCGAAGGCAGCCUUCUGGCAUAAUACUGACACUGAGGCUCGAAAGCGUGGGUAGCAAACAGGAUUAGAUACCCUGGUAGUCCACGCCGUAAACGAUGUCUACUAGUCGUUGGGUCCCUUGAGGACUUAGUGACGCAGCUAACGCAAUAAGUAGACCGCCUGGGGAGUACGGCCGCAAGGUUAAAACUCAAAUGAAUUGACGGGGGCCCGCACAAGCGGUGGAGCAUGUGGUUUAAUUCGAUGCAACGCGAAGAACCUUACCUGGUCUUGACAUAUCUAGAAUCCUGCAGAGAUGCGGGAGUGCCUUCGGGAAUUAGAAUACAGGUGCUGCAUGGCUGUCGUCAGCUCGUGUCGUGAGAUGUUGGGUUAAGUCCCGCAACGAGCGCAACCCUUGUCCUUAGUUACCAGCGGGUUAAGCCGGGAACUCUAAGGAUACUGCCAGUGACAAACUGGAGGAAGGCGGGGACGACGUCAAGUCAUCAUGGCCCUUACGACCAGGGCUACACACGUGCUACAAUGGUAGGUACAGAGGGCAGCUACACAGCGAUGUGAUGCGAAUCUCAAAAAGCCUAUCGUAGUCCAGAUUGGAGUCUGCAACUCGACUCCAUGAAGUAGGAAUCGCUAGUAAUCGCGGAUCAGAAUGCCGCGGUGAAUACGUUCCCGGGCCUUGUACACACCGCCCGUCACACCAUGGGAGUUGAUUGCACCAGAAGUGG